CUCACAUUUGAGAGAUAAAUACACAAGAGACAUAUCAUUACGUUGAAAAACAUUGGAAGAGAAAUAAAUGGUUAUUGAAGCCUCCACCACCUCUAUAUGCGAAUAAUGCAAUCAGUGAAACUUCCCCAGAUUUGAUGUUCAUCAACACGCAAUCCAUUCAUCUUCUCCUAAAAACAGAUUAUAGGGUGCUUCGAUGCUUCAAGGCUUCGUUUGGAAAUUCGAGAGCAGCAGCAGAGCAGAGUUGAGGUUUGAUCACUAGAAGCCCAUUGUGCACCCAAAACCGAUUGACACAAAAGGACUUGGUUGACUAGUAAUGUGAUGGCUGUCGUUUGAUAAUGCUUCAGUCCUCAACGUUUUGAAGAUUAUCCGUCAACCACUGCACCUGCCGAAACACGUGAACAACGAUCAUGUGCAAUGCCAAAAUU